rnacentral:lncRNA from 1 species
UUAAGUUUCAGCACCAAAAAAAAAAAAAAAAAAAUAUUCCAGAAAACUGUGGGGUCAUUUGACCCCACAUGACCCCAUGUGGGUCCGCCCCUGAAUGAAACUCAAUAAUCUAUUCCAGCAAUCGAGAAACUUAAGUCAAGUUUAUGUGAAAAUCUAGAAUGAAAUUUUCUUAAAUUAAAACCCUAUUGCUAGUGAAUUGUAAAUGUUCAUCUUUAACUUCCCGAUUAAAUUGUCUCUCCUGUCAUAAUCCUGAGAGUCAGUCUUCCUAGUUACUUGAAAAAUCGUCAGUAACUCCAAAAUCUACUGCCCAACAGCCCAAGAAUAAUCAACCACUUGACAAACUUGAGAUCUACGGUCUAUUUUUAUUAUCUAAUUUGCUAUUCAACCAAUUGCAAAUUGACACAUCAUGAAAAAUUAAAUUUGCCCACGAUGUGUCAAUUUGUAAUUGAGUGGAGAACAAAUUGAAUAGCAGAUCUCAACUCCCACUUGACGUGCCUCAAGGAAAAGAAGACUCUCUUUACGCUUUAACCGUAAUGCUACUUAAUUAUCAUAUAGAUUCUUGAUCAUAGGUCUAAAGAAGGACGAUUCUAGGACCCGAUUACAAGCCGGGCUAAUAUGUUAAAAAAUAAAAAUACAAAUAAAAUUUACACAUAAAAAAAUCAAAUGGGCUGGGUAGCCCAGUCCAAUCCCGCCCGUAUACGUCCCCGGCGUCUAAAUAUACAGCAUUAUUCUAAAUUAUAAGUAAAACUUUCCAUCAAAAUAGUUUAAAUUAAUUUUUAAGUUUUUAUUUUUUUUAGUUUUCGAACAUAUUAUUUGAUAUCCCACUGACCUCACUGCCCGAAGAUCAAUAAUUUUGCAUAAUUUCAUGUCAUUAAAGUCCUUUAAUAAUUUAGAAAGUCAUUUCUCAAAUCUUAAGAAAAACUAGGGUUUUCUGAAAAAUAGGCAGAUUUUUGCAAAACAAUUCUAAAGUUUUCAGAACUUUUAAAGCGUGAGAUUUGGACAGAUUUGGUUAAUCUAGAUAGAAUUUUAAUAAAAAGUUCAAAAGACGUCUAGAUUUAGUGAUUAUAGUUUUCUAGCCUUCCUAAUAACGGAAUAGUUUUCAAUGAGAAACGGNNNUCCAUUCUGUGCCUUUACGUGAUUUUACUGCAAAACACGUAUAGGCAUAUACAUACAUAUACGUAUAGAUCAAAAUAUACGAACAUUUAUAAUUCCGUAUACGACUAUGAGAACAUUUGAAGAAACUGCUUCAUCUUCGUAUUAUAGAGAGGCAACAAAGAGGUGAGAGAAGAGGAGGUAGGCAGUAGGUUCUCAGCUUUUUGAGAUUAGGGGUUUUCGAUAGGAAUUUUG